AACGAACGCUGGCGGCAGGCCUAACACAUGCAAGUCGAAGGAGAAGCUAUUUCGGUAGUGGAGACUGGCGGAUGGGUGAGUAACGCGUGGGAACCUGCCCUUCAGUUCGGGAUAACAGUUGGAAACGACUGCUAAUACCGAAUAUUAUCUACGGAUGAAAGAUUUAUCGCUGAAGGAUGGGCCCGCGACUGAUUAGAUAGUUGGUGGGGUAAUGGCCUACCAAGUCGACGAUCAGUAGCUGGUUUGAGAGGAUGAUCAGCCACACUGGGACUGAGACACGGCCCAGACUCCUACGGGAGGCAGCAGUGGGGAAUAUUGGACAAUGGGGGCAACCCUGAUCCAGCCAUGCCGCGUGCGCGAUGAAGGCCUUAGGGUUGUAAAGCACUUUCACCCGUGAAGAUGAUGACGGUAGCGGGAGAGAAGCCCGGCUAACUCCGUGCCAGCAGCAGCCGCCGUAA
rnacentral:rRNA from 1 species